rnacentral:rRNA from 1 species
UACAGAGGUCCCAAGGCGUUGUUCGGAUUCAUUGGGCGUAAAGGGUGCGUAGGCGGCGCGGUAAGUUCGGGUGUGAAAUCUCGGAGCUUAACUCCGAAACUGCAUUCGAUACUGCCGUGCUUGAGGACUGGAGAGGAGACUGGAAUUUACGGUGUAGCGGUGAAAUGCGUAGAUAUCAGGAGGAACACCGGUGGCGAAGGCGGGUCUCUGGGCCGUAACUGACGCUGAGGAGCGAAAGCGUGGGGAGCGAACAGG